CUGGUGUUCGCUUCAGCAGCACAUAUACUGGAAUGAUACAGAGAAGAUUAGCAUGGCUCCAGCACAAGGAUAACACACAAAUUCAUGAAGCAUUCUAUAUUAAA